AGCGUACACGGUGGAUGCCCUGGCAGUCAGAGGCGAUGAAGGACGUGCUAAUCUGCGAUAAGCGUCGGUAAGGUGAUAUGAACCGUUAUAACCGGCGAUUUCCGAAUGGGGAAACCCAGUGUGAUUCGUCACACUAUCAUUAACUGAAUCCAUAGGUUAAUGAGGCGAACCGGGGGAACUGAAACAUCUAAGUACCCCGAGGAAAAGAAAUCAACCGAGAUUCCCCCAGUAGCGGCGAGCGAACGGGGAGCAGCCCAGAGCCUGAAUCAGUGUGUGUGUUAGUGGAAGCGUCUGGAAAGGCGCGCGAUACAGGGUGACAGCCCCGUACACAAAAAUGCACAUGCUGUGAGCUCGAUGAGUAGGGCGGGACACGUGGUAUCCUGUCUGAAUAUGGGGGGACCAUCCUCCAAGGCUAAAUACUCCUGACUGACCGAUAGUGAACCAGUACCGUGAGGGAAAGGCGAAAAGAACCCCGGCGAGGGGAGUGAAAAAGAACCUGAAACCGUGUACGUACAAGCAGUGGGAGCACGCUUAGGCGUGUGACUGCGUACCUUUUGUAUAAUGGGUCAGCGACUUAUAUUCUGUAGCAAGGUUAACCGAAUAGGGGAGCCGAAGGGAAACCGAGUCUUAACUGGGCGUUAAGUUGCAGGGUAUAGACCCGAAACCCGGUGAUCUAGCCAUGGGCAGGUUGAAGGUUGGGUAACACUAACUGGAGGACCGAACCGACUAAUGUUGAAAAAUUAGCGGAUGACUUGUGGCUGGGGGUGAAAGGCCAAUCAAACCGGGAGAUAGCUGGUUCUCCCCGAAAGCUAUUUAGGUAGCGCCUCGUGAAUUCAUCUCCGGGGGUAGAGCACUGUUUCGGCAAGGGGGUCAUCCCGACUUACCAACCCGAUGCAAACUGCGAAUACCGGAGAAUGUUAUCACGGGAGACACACGGCGGGUGCUAACGUCCGUCGUGAAGAGGGAAACAACCCAGACCGCCAGCUAAGGUCCCAAAGUCAUGGUUAAGUGGGAAACGAUGUGGGAAGGCCCAGACAGCCAGGAUGUUGGCUUAGAAGCAGCCAUCAUUUAAAGAAAGCGUAAUAGCUCACUGGUCGAGUCGGCCUGCGCGGAAGAUGUAACGGGGCUAAACCAUGCACCGAAGCUGCGGCAGCGACACUAUGUGUUGUUGGGUAGGGGAGCGUUCUGUAAGCCUGUGAAGGUGUACUGUGAGGUAUGCUGGAGGUAUCAGAAGUGCGAAUGCUGACAUAAGUAACGAUAAAGCGGGUGAAAAGCCCGCUCGCCGGAAGACCAAGGGUUCCUGUCCAACGUUAAUCGGGGCAGGGUGAGUCGACCCCUAAGGCGAGGCCGAAAGGCGUAGUCGAUGGGAAACAGGUUAAUAUUCCUGUACUUGGUGUUACUGCGAAGGGGGGACGGAGAAGGCUAUGUUGGCCGGGCGACGGUUGUCCCGGUUUAAGCGUGUAGGCUGGUUUUCCAGGCAAAUCCGGAAAAUCAAGGCUGAGGCGUGAUGACGAGGCACUACGGUGCUGAAGCAACAAAUGCCCUGCUUCCAGGAAAAGCCUCUAAGCAUCAGGUAACAUCAAAUCGUACCCCAAACCGACACAGGUGGUCAGGUAGAGAAUACCAAGGCGCUUGAGAGAACUCGGGUGAAGGAACUAGGCAAAAUGGUGCCGUAACUUCGGGAGAAGGCACGCUGAUAUGUAGGUGAAGCGACUUGCUCGUGGAGCUGAAAUCAGUCGAAGAUACCAGCUGGCUGCAACUGUUUAUUAAAAACACAGCACUGUGCAAACACGAAAGUGGACGUAUACGGUGUGACGCCUGCCCGGUGCCGGAAGGUUAAUUGAUGGGGUCAGCGCAAGCGAAGCUCUUGAUCGAAGCCCCGGUAAACGGCGGCCGUAACUAUAACGGUCCUAAGGUAGCGAAAUUCCUUGUCGGGUAAGUUCCGACCUGCACGAAUGGCGUAAUGAUGGCCAGGCUGUCUCCACCCGAGACUCAGUGAAAUUGAACUCGCUGUGAAGAUGCAGUGUACCCGCGGCAAGACGGAAAGACCCCGUGAACCUUUACUAUAGCUUGACACUGAACAUUGAGCCUUGAUGUGUAGGAUAGGUGGGAGGCUUGGAAGUGUGGACGCCAGUCUGCAUGGAGCCGACCUUGAAAUACCACCCUUUAAUGUUUGAUGUUCUAACGUGGACCCGUGAUCCGGGUUGCGGACAGUGUCUGGUGGGUAGUUUGACUGGGGCGGUCUCCUCCUAAAGAGUAACGGAGGAGCACGAAGGUUGGCUAAUCCUGGUCGGACAUCAGGAGGUUAGUGCAAUGGCAUAAGCCAGCUUGACUGCGAGCGUGACGGCGCGAGCAGGUGCGAAAGCAGGUCAUAGUGAUCCGGUGGUUCUGAAUGGAAGGGCCAUCGCUCAACGGAUAAAAGGUACUCCGGGGAUAACAGGCUGAUACCGCCCAAGAGUUCAUAUCGACGGCGGUGUUUGGCACCUCGAUGUCGGCUCAUCACAUCCUGGGGCUGAAGUAGGUCCCAAGGGUAUGGCUGUUCGCCAUUUAAAGUGGUACGCGAGCUGGGUUUAGAACGUCGUGAGACAGUUCGGUCCCUAUCUGCCGUGGGCGCUGGAGAACUGAGGGGGGCUGCUCCUAGUACGAGAGGACCGGAGUGGACGCAUCACUGGUGUUCGGGUUGUCAUGCCAAUGGCACUGCCCGGUAGCUAAAUGCGGAAGAGAUAAGUGCUGAAAGCAUCUAAGCACGAAACUUGCCCCGAGAUGAGUUCUCCCUGACUCCUUGA
rnacentral:rRNA from 1 species